GACGAACGCUCGCGGCGUGCCUAAUACAUGCAAGUAGAACGCACAGUUUAUACCGUAGCUUGCUACACCAUAAACUGUGAGUUGCGAACGGGUGAGUAACGCGUAGGUAACCUGCCUGGUAGCGGGGGAUAACUAUUGGAAACGAUAGCUAAUACCGCAUAAUAUUAAUUAUUGCAUGAUAAUUGAUUGAAAGAUGCAAUUGCAUCACUACCAGAUGGACCUGCGUUGAAUUAGCUAGUAGGUGAGGUAACGGCUCACCUAGGCGAUGAUACAUAGCCGACCUGAGAGGGUGAUCGGCCACACUGGGACUGAGACACGGCCCAGACUCCUACGGGAGGCAGCAGUAGGGAAUCUUCGGCGAUGGACGAAAGUCUGACCGAGCAACGCCGCGUGAGUGAAGAAGGUUUUCGGAUCGUAAAGCUCUGUUGUAAGAGAAGAACGGGUGUGAGAGUGGAAAGUUCACACUGUGACGGUAUCUUACCAGAAAGGGACGGCUAACUACGUG
rnacentral:rRNA from 1 species